AUGAAGGUCCUGUGGAGCCAGGAACCAAGGGCCCACUGCACCAUGGGAAGCCAUCAUCUCACACUUGUACAGUUCCCCAGAUAUUUGGCCUUCUAUAGUCCACCCGUGCUUCAUCAAUGGCUUACUACAUCAAAUACUUUCAGUGUACCUAUUUUCUCUAUGCUAAAUGUUCAAGUCUGUUUACCCAUGGAACUAUACUUUUGUUCAAUACCUACUUUGACAGUUUGCUUUCCAUGAGUAUGGGAUCUGUAAAAUACAACUUAAUAUUAAAAAAAUCAUCUUGGUACCUUUGAGCUUAGCCAGCUAUGUGGAUGAUGCAGUAAAAACAUUCCUUCUUUUAACUCCUGAUCAAAAUGCUAAGAAAAACUUCAGCAUCUUCUGAUGCAUUUCCUGAUGUCUUAAAAGUUUAAGGUAAUUAGUUUCAAGUGUUUGUGACGUUUCUUCUACUUCCUGAAGGACUUUUAUUCUAACAACAGUUUGACCUAAUGUACUCAAUUUUUCUCCCAGCUUCUUGUAAUCUCAAGCAGAAGUGUUCUGACAUAUUGUCCAUUAUACUCAAUCAGACAUGAACUGUGUCCAAUGCUUGCUUAUAGUUUUGCUGUUAAAUCCAGCGAAUCCUGGACCUCCCACUGCUCUGAAAGCCGACAAGUUAUCUUCCACCAUCUGGAAGAUGUGAAAUGCGCUUAAAACUAAUAAUAAUAAUAAUCUUUAAUGGAUCCAGAUUCAUUUUAAUUACUUCUCCUCCAGCUCCAGUUGUCUUUGAGCUCACCUCUUUCAGAAAACCUUUAACAUAUCCUAACUAAUAGGCUGAGUUGUCAUUCCUGGAACCGCUGACCCCCCCUCAAGGUGCAUCCACAGCUGCUCUGCCUGCACUGGUGUUGCAGGUGCCCGGAUGCACACCCAAAACCAGCUCUAAGGCCUGGAUCCCACCAUGCAAAGCCAUCAGCAACAAGGGUCCAUUGCCGGCGUCCUGCCAGACUUAACCUGAGCUCCACAAACACACACUACAAAAAAUUCCUCUGCUGGAAGAAAGGCAGCCUGCAGUCUUUUUAUUCUUUUAAAGUGAUUUCAAGGCCCCUUUAGGAGAUGUUUCACUGCUGAUACUCAACAACAUGUGGAAGGGGAAAUUUGAGAGGGACCCGUAGCUGAGGAGACCUGCAGGGAAUUUUGUCAUUUCACUAUUGUUCACUAUCACAGAUGUCAGCUCACAUUUUUAUCAUGGGUCUCUUGUUUGCUUUCUUUGCGUGAUUAAGAAACAAAAUCUGGUCUCUGAAAAUUAAAAAAAAAAUAAAAAAUGACAGAGAAUUCUAGUCCA
rnacentral:lncRNA from 1 species